rnacentral:rRNA from 1 species
ACGUCAAGUCCUCAUGGCCCUUACGGGGUGGGCUACACACGUGCUACAAUGGCGACUACAGAGGGUUGCGAUGCUGCGAAGCGGAGCUAAUCCCUAAAAGUCGUCUCAGUUCGGAUUGCACUCUGCAACUCGAGUGCAUGAAGUCGGAAUCGCUAGUAAUCGCGGAUCAGCAUGCCGCGGUGAAUACGUUCCCGGGCCUU